rnacentral:rRNA from 1 species
AGAGUUUGAUCAUGGCUCAGAACGAACGCUGGCGGCAGGCCUAAAACAUGCAAGUCGAACGCUCUAGCAAUAGAGAGUGGCGCACGGGUGCGUAACACGUGGGAAUAUGCCUUUUGGUACGGAACAACUUUUGGAAACGAAAGCUAAUACCGUAUGGUCCCUCCGGGGUAAAGAUUUAUCGCCAAAAGAGUAGCCCGCGCUGGAUUAGCUAGUUGGUGAGGUAAUGGCUCACCAAGGCGACGAUCCAUAGCUGGUCUGAGAGGACGAUCAGCCACACUGGGACUGAGACACGGCCCAGACUCCUACGGGAGGCAGCAGUUAGGAAUCUUGGACAAUGGGCGCAAGCCUGAUCCAGCCAUGCCGCGUGAGUGAUGAAGGCCUUCGGGUUGUAAAGCUCUUUAGUCCACGAAUAUAAUGACUGUAGUGGAAGAAUAAGCCCCGGCUAACUUCGUGCCAGCAGCCGCGGUAAUACGAAGGGGGCGAGCGUUGCUCGGAAUCACUGGGCGUAAAGCGUGCGUAGGCGGUUAUGAAAGUUAGGAGUGAAAGCCCAGGGCUCAACCCUGGAAUUGCUCUUAAAACUACAUGGCUCGAAUCUCGGAGAGGAUAGCGGAAUUGUCAGUGUAGCAGUGAAAUGCGUAGAUAUUGACAGGAACACCAGUGGCGUAAGCGGCUAUCUGGACGAGUAUUGACGCUGAGGCACGAAAGCGUGGGGAUCAACAGGAUUAGAUACCCNNGUAGUCC